AACUGAGGGUGCUGAAAAUAUGUUCAGGCACUACAGAUAUUCAAGUCAAAUUCCAUUUUUAAGAUAGCGAUAAUCCAGAGACGGAAGAGAGAUGGAUAUCUAGUUUUGAUUUGAAGACAUCAAAGGCCACUUCCCUGACAGUUUUGAAAACAUCAAAGAGCACUCAGCUUGUGGAAGAUAAAAGAAAAAGGAGCUAAUUGCCUGGAUGCUAAAGGGAAAUUUUCAGCAAAUAUUUUGGUCCUAUUCUGGCUUUUAAAAAUCUGGCUUACUAAAAAGACUGCAAACCAUUAUUACAUGAAAAGACACAGCAGCAAUUUCAUCUUGUUGAACAUUAUUAAGGUGAAAAUUUAUCAAAACAUGCAAUCAAAAUAAGGAUAUUGAUCACAGAUUUAUCCAAAGCAAUCUUUCCUCAAGAUCCCAGCUGGGCAAGAUUUAAUUUCUACACCAGUGACUCUUCUGCUCCUAUGAUGUCACGGUCUGAUAAUCAAUACCUUGCUAUUUUGACAUACUAGAAACAUUAUAUUUUAGAGUGGAGAGAAAGUAUUUUGCUGAUGUUUAAAUAUUUAUAUAGUUUUUUGAAUGUUUUGAUUUUUUAAAAUUGUUUCCUGAAAAAAAUUUUGUGUGUGUGUGUUUGUGUGAAUAUAUUUGCAUUUAGAAGGACAGAAGUAUAAUAAAAUAUAUUAGAGUGUAUGAAAAAAUAUCCACCUUUUUAUACAAGCUAGCCUAACACAACACAUUAUAAACUGUGAUAUGUUUAUUACUGUAAAGUAUAUUAUUAUUUGUGAAGUCUGCACUUUUUUUUUUGUUUUUACUCUCUUCAAAGGAAAAUAUUUUGUAACUGAGGAUGAUAUGAAAAAAUCCUUAACCUUAGUUGUGAUAGCUGGCUCAUCCACAAGGACUGAACCUAUCAUUUCUGGAUCUAAACAAGUGAGUUCUUAUGCUUGAGAACACAGCCUUACUAACUAGGUAGGUUCAGGCUCUAUUUUAUAUAAGUAUGCCCCAGAGAGAGACAAAGAGAAUUAUUGCAUGAGCUGCCUGGCACAACUCUCAGAUGGCAAAAAUGCAGCUGGGAUAAAGCAUUUCCAAAAUGUCUAAAUAAUCAUAGAAGCAUUAAUGUACCAUAUACCUUAUAUCUAUUAGAAAUACUGCUCUCCACUUUACAAACAUGCUUUGUGUAUCCUUUAUAUACAGAUAUUUACACUUAUGCCAGUGUACAUGUACAUAGGUAUAUACUUAUGAAGAUGUAGCUCUUGCCAUGAGGUGAGAAGUAUGUUUGCCUUCUGCCAACACUUCAGCACAUAAAUUAACUUACAAGAAUGUUUAGUAAAGCAGCAACACACGGGAGUACUGCUGAAUAUCAAAGCUGGGUUCUUAAUUGCAGUUAUGCAGCUUGAUAACCUGAUUCUAACUUUUACGUAUGCACAGUUAAAUAACAGCAGGAUCACUCCAUCCUCAGCCAGUCUGGUCAGCUGCCCAGAGAUGCUUGAUCAGGGGCUGGUGUGUUCAGAGCACUUUCCAACACCGUUUCAUUGGUUGUGAGCUACUCGCACACAAGGCAGAGGAUUGACAGCAUUGUUUUUGCUCAGUAACAUCAAAAAAUUUGGUACAGGGCGGGGUAACCUGUAUCCUGGCAUGAAGGGAUGGUUAUGCUUCAGAUAUUUGAUGUCAACAAAAGAGAAACUUCAAAAAAAUGAAUGGUAUUUAAAUAAAAAUUAGAAAAGACAAGCAAAUUGGCAGAAUGCUACAGAAGGAUUAUUACUGCUGGAGACUGAAAAUCUAAUACAGAGAACAACCCCAGGAGGUGGCACAAAAGCCAAUACGAACCUCCCAGACAUUUUGUGUGGCAAGACAGAGGCCAUGCACACCGCAUUCACAGCAAAACUGAGCAGAAAUCAGUUUUUCUAAUAACUAACCCUGGAAAUUAGUCACAAGGUUAUCCUUGUCAUUUUGCUGUAGAGACCUAUUAAAAUAUGUUGAACCAAUUACUUGAGUAGACAUUGGUUCUUAAUAAGUGACUGAAAACACCAGGUCAAAGAGAAAGAGACUGACCCAUUUGUGAAUUAUGAGGAGGCUGGCAUCCAAAAGACUUUGGAGGGAAUAAUUAUGAAACAUCUAUCAUUUCAUCAUAACAGUCUGCCUUCAAUCAAAGCAUGUUGUAAAUAGAAGUGUUCAGAAAUUAUCAAAGGAAACAAAGUUUUGUCAAAAAAUGCUACUUCACCCAGGCCGAAGUCUUUCAUUUAAAGCAUCUUGGGUUCAAUGUGGCUUUACCAAACUCAAGGAAGAGUUCAAAGAGAACUUUGCCUGGAUUCCUGCAGAGUCUGCCUGGGCUACCGACAUUGGAAACAGCCACGCCAGGUCAGGUCAAAACCAAACUAGAAGGAAACUUCCAGUAAACUUGGAAUCCCAGUUUUGGUCCACCUUUGCUUAUGAGGUAUUUUUACUGCUAUUUAAAAAAGAAAACUUUGUAUCUAACAGCUAGAGCUCAGGAGGGUGUUUUUUAUAGAACAGAUCUUUAUCUUCAAGAACAACAACAUAAACUAUUUAAGAUUGAAAGAAUGUGAUUAAAAAUGCACAUUGUUGUUCAGUUAUAGCCUCUAAGCAGGCAGUGAAUUUGAAAUGAAUUCAUUUACAAGUGACUUUUUAGGAAUAUAUGAAAUCAAUAUAUCUAACAAAAAUAAAGUUCCUAAUGGUACAGAUUCCUUACACCACUUAAUUUGCUGUAAUGUUUGGUGACUUUUGAAAACAAAUGUCAGACAUGGUCUUCAUUACUGAAGUGUAAAGUGAAAAUAUAUGUGCAUUUGUGCAUAAAACAUAAGCAAAGUAGUUAAACUCAAAUAUGUACAUGGACAGUGUCUAAUCAAGAGGAAAAAAAGUCUAAAAGCUCAAAAGAUACUUAUGCAUAUCUUAGUUUCUUUAGAAUGAUUUCAGGUACCUCUUGUUGCCAUUAAUAAGUGGCUUAAGGUUGUAAUAUGUGUGGAUUAUAUGUAUAAUAUACAUAAAUAUUCAUAUUUAAGUAUCCAAAUUACUAGGUGGAUUUUCAGAAAUACAGAGCACCUGGUAAUGAUACAAAUAUGCAAGUAGGUGGAGAAUAACAUUAUAAAUAUUUUGUUUUGCACUGAGGUGAACUAGUAAACUUAUCAAGCAAAGAUUAUUUACAUAUCUUGUUCUCAUAUUUCCUUCCUCGCAUCAUGAUGGCAUAGCACAUUAGCAUUAACAUAUGCAGACAGAUUGUAUACUCUGAGGUGUACACACACGGAUUAAUGUAUUAGCAUUAUUGUCCUGUACAAGAUAUUUAACUCAGCACUAUCUUUAAAGCUCACAAUAGUUUUUAAGUAAUUUUUGAAACCCAGAUUUGUUUCUGAGCCCUUCUGUCUGUACUAAAAAUAGGAAAAGCUGUGUUUUUCUUAUCAACUUAUUUUAAAGAAGAAUCCUAUUGAAAACUAAACUCAUUUCAGUUACAUGCUGAAGUGAUUGUGCUAAAGGGUCUUACUGUAUAAAUGGAGCACACAAGCCAAAAACAAUACAAAUGUUUAGCUGCUGGCUUUAGCCAGUCUCUUUCAGUGCAAAUCAUAAUUGCUUUAGGACUUUCUGAAUCCACUUUUGAAUUCAAAGCUUCAGACAAAUAAUUGGAUUUCCUGAAAACAUGCUGAGCUAUGUUGCUCUCCCUGUCUUGCUUUAUGUCCUCAGGGCUCCAGCCUCUGCUUUGUAUCAGGCUGCACCUAGUAGGCUAAUUGGAGGGAUGGGUAGAUCACUAUGCAUUAACAUGUCCAUCUGUAUUAAAUAAAAUCUCCUCAACAGUCUUUAUCAUCUUCAACAGAAUUAUCGCUUUACAGUUGAAGAAACAGUAAAUCAAAGAAAAAUCGCUAUGUAAUUUACCAAUGGCUCAGGUGCCUUAGCCCACAGACCUAUGAUCCAAGCCAAUUAUAUUCUAGCUGACUUAUUUUUACAGUACUUUGACAUUGUAUACUCACUUCAUGUGUCUCACUGACUGUAGGGCAGCUCUAAAUAUGCUCUGGGCUAUCCGCCUAGAUGUUUCUUGCUCUAGGUGAAGUACAGUUGAAAUACUGUUGAGUUUGAUCUACAAGACUUGUAAAUAUAUAAUAUCAAAGAUUAAACCCUUCAGUUUCCCAGUGUUGUGCCAGGUGUACAAAAGAUAUCAUAUUAAUAAAUUAGGUGUUACUUUUUUAUUGUUGUUAUUUAACAUUAAUAGAAUGUAAUAAGCUGGUGACCUUUCUUUUCCAAUUGUGUGGAAGAGGAAUAAUCAAGCUUAAGUGGCUACUGAGGCAAGAAACCUUCACAUUGCCUACAAAAUCUCUAGAGUCAGGUAUGAACCAGAGAGUUCUCCUGGCAUAACUGUGUUUUCUGAGAGUACGAAAAAUUCAUUCCUUCUCACUGACCUCACCGUGUCUGAAAAAAUAAGACCCAACAGUGUGAGGACACAAUACUGCUUUAAGAGAGCUUUGGAUGUCUUUGCUCAAGUCUUUCAUGGGAAUGGCAUGAUGACCCCCAUGACAGGAAACUUUUUCAUGUUUCUCAACACUAAUCUGACGAUACUUUUCACCCUCUUGCUAUUUGCAACCCCUUUUGGCACCAUUGCUAUUUUUUCUUUACCUCUUUUCUCUACCUCCAUCCCAAGCACAGCAAUACUUGCCUGAUUUUGGAGUUAACUGUCUGGACUUAACUGUGAACAACUUGUCUUUGCAGUCCCUGCCAGUUAACUUAUAGGUUUUGACUUACAAUUCUGGUUCUUUGAGUGCUCAUUCACUGAACUACUUUCAAGAAACAUAUUGCAUUUCUUAUAUUUCUUUUUCUGCACACGUUUGAGUGUCAAUAUCUGCUUCUUUUCAAUGAAUUAUUGAUUUUUUAAAGUAUAUUAGUGUUAAUUAUAGUCUGAACUUAUCAUGGUGUCACAAUAAAUG